CGAUUCCGGAGAGGGAGCCUGAGAAAUAGCUACCACAUCCAAGGAAGGCAGCAGGCGCGCAAAUUACCCACUCCCGAAACGGGGAGGUAGUGACGAUAAAUAACGAUGCGGGACUCAAUCGAGGCCCCGUAAUUGGAAUGAGUACACUUUAAAUCCUUUAACGAGGAUCAAUUGGAGGGCAAGUCUGGUGCCAGCAGCCGCGGUAAUUCCAGCUCCAAUAGCGUAUAUUAAAGUUGUUGCAGUUAAAAAGCUCGUAGUUGGAUCUCAGGAUUUGGAUGGAUGGUUCGCUUUCGGGCGCUACUAUCUGUCUGACCUACUCUAGUCGUGGAUGCCUUGGGUGCUCUUAAUUGAGUGCUUUUGGUGCCCGACGCAAUUACUUUGAAAAAAUUAGAGUGCUCAAAGCAGGCGUAUUGCCUGAAUAGUGUUGCAUGGAAUAAUGAAAUAGGAGUUUACUUCUAUUUUGUUGGUUUUCGGAGGUGAACUAAUGAUUAACAGGGACAGACGGGGGCAUUUGUAUGGAGGGGUUAGAGGUGAAAUUCUUGGAUCCUCUCCAGACAAACUACUGCGAAAGCAUUUGCCAGGAAUGUUUUCACUAAUCAAGAACGAAAGUCAGAGGUUCGAAGACGAUCAGAUACCGUCCUAGUUCUGACCAUAAAUGAUGCCAUCUAACAAUCCACGAAGUUUGCUUGUACGAACUCGUGGGCGGUCCCCGGGAAACCAAAGAUUUUGGGUUCCGGGGGAAGUAUGGUUGCAAAGCUGAAACUUAAAGGAAUUGACGGAAGGGCACCACCAGGAGUGGAGCCUGCGGCUUAAUUUGACCCAACACGGGAAACCUCACCCGGCCCGGACACUUUUAGGAUUGACAGAUUGAAGCCUCUUUCUUGAUCAAGUGGUUGGUGGUGCAUGGCCGUUCUUAGUUGGUGGAGCGAUUUGUCUGGUUAAUUCCGAUAACGAACGAGACUCUACUCUGCUAAAUAGAACGUUGAUAUAUAAAAGUCAGUGCUGACUUCUUAGAGAGACUAACGGCGUUUAGCCGUGUGAGAAAGAGCAAUAACAGGUCUGUGAUGCCCUUAGAUGUCCGGGGCCGCACGCGCGCUACACUGACUGCAGCAACUAGUAUGCUCCUGGUUUGAAAAAACUGGGUAACCUGGUUGAAUUGCAGGCGUGACAGGGAUCAGAGUUUGCAAUUAUCCUCUGUGAACGAGGAAUUCCCAGUAAGCGCAAGUCAUUAGCUUGUGCUGAUUACGUCCCUGCCCUUUGUACACACCGCCCGUCGCUACUACCGAUUGAAUGGUUUAGUGAGGUCUUCGGAUUGGUGCUGAUGGAGUGGUUCUCUGCUCUGUUAGUGCCGAGAAGAUGAUCAAACUUGAUCAUUUAGAGGAAGUAAAAGUCGUAACAAGGUU
rnacentral:rRNA from 1 species